CUAAUCUGCGAUAAGCGCCGGUAAGGUGAUAUGAACCGUUAUAACCGGCGAUACCCGAAUGGGGAAACCCAGUGUGACUCGUCACACUAUCAUUAACUGAAUCCAUAGGUUAAUGAGGCGAACCGGGGGAACUGAAACAUCUAAGUACCCCGAGGAAAAGAAAUCAACCGAGAUUCCCCCAGUAGCGGCGAGCGAACGGGGAGGAGCCCAGAGCCUGAAUCAGCAUGUGUGUUAGUGGAAGCGUCUGGAAAGGCGCGCGAUACAGGGUGACAGCCCCGUACACAAAAGCGCAUGUGCUGUGAGCUCGAUGAGUAGGGCGGGACACGUGGUAUCCUGUCUGAAUAUGGGGGGACCAUCCUCCAAGGCUAAAUACUCCUGACUGACCGAUAGUGAACCAGUACCGUGAGGGAAAGGCGAAAAGAACCCCGGCGAGGGGAGUGAAAAAGAACCUGAAACCGUGUACGUACAAGCAGUGGGAGCACCCUUUGGGUGUGACUGCGUACCUUUUGUAUAAUGGGUCAGCGACUUAUAUUCUGUAGCAAGGUUAACCGAAUAGGGGAGCCGGAGGGAAACCGAGUCUUAAUUGGGCGUUAAGUUGCAGGGUAUAGACCCGAAACCCGGUGAUCUAGCCAUGGGCAGGUUGAAGGUUGGGUAACACUAACUGGAGGACCGAACCGACUAAUGUUGAAAAAUUAGCGGAUGACCUGUGGCUGGGGGUGAAAGGCCAAUCAAACCGGGAGAUAGCUGGUUCUCCCCGAAAGCUAUUUAGGUAGCGCCUCGUGAAUUCAUCUCCGGGGGUAGAGCACUGUUUCGGCUAGGGGGCCAUCCCGGCUUACCAACCCGAUGCAAACUGCGAAUACCGGAGAAUGUUAUCACGGGAGACACACGGCGGGUGCUAACGUCCGUCGUGAAGAGGGAAACAACCCAGACCGCCAGCUAAGGUCCCAAAGUCAUGGUUAAGUGGGAAACGAUGUGGGAAGGCCCAGACAGCCAGGAUGUUGGCUUAGAAGCAGCCAUCAUUUAAAGAAAGCGUAAUAGCUCACUGGUCGAGUCGGCCUGCGCGGAAGAUGUAACGGGGCUAAACCAUGCACCGAAGCUGCGGCAGCGACACUGUGUGUUGUUGGGUAGGGGAGCGUUCUGUAAGCCUGUGAAGGUGUGUCGUGAGGC
rnacentral:rRNA from 1 species